UCCGAGUUGACCCCGGCAGUCUCCUAUGAGUCCCCGCCAUGACGCGCUGGCAACAUAGAACGAGGGUUGCGCUCGUUGCGGGACUUAACCCAACAUCUCACGACACGAGCUGACGACAACCAUGCACCACCUGUACACCGCCCUUGCGGACCCCAUAUCUCUAUGAGUUUUCGGGUGAUGUCAAGCCUUGGUAAGGUUCUUCGCGUUGCGUCGAAUUAAGCAACAUGCUCCGCCGCUUGUGCGGGCCCCCGUCAAUUCCUUUGAGUUUUAGCCUUGCGGCCGUACUCCCCAGGCGGGGCGCUUAAUGCGUUAGCUACGGCGCGGAAGACAUUGGUUAUCUCCCACACCUAGUACCCAACGUUUACGGCGUGGACUAC
rnacentral:misc_RNA from 1 species